rnacentral:rRNA from 1 species
AACGUAGGACGCAAGCGUUAUCCGGAGUUACUGGGCGUAAAGCGCGGGCAGGCGGCUCGAUGCGUCUGAUGUGAAAUCUCCUCGCUCAACGGGGAGAGGCCAUUGGAAACGGUCGGGCUGGAGGGCAGUAGAGGCAGGCGGAAUUCCGGGUGUAGCGGUGGAAUGCGUAGAGAUCCGGAAGAACACCGGAGGCGAAGGCGGCUUGCUGGGCUCGGUCUGACGCUGAGGCGCGAAAGCGUGGGGAGCGAACAGG